rnacentral:lncRNA from 1 species
CUUAGGGUGUUUGGGCUGCAGGUAACCGAAAACUCAACUCAAACUGGCUCACGCAGAAAGGAAGUGCCUGGUGCCUAGGGGGCGCUCUGUGAGAGCCUGCCUCUACUCUGGUCUCUACUGCCAAUGCUAGAAUACUGGGUGGUAGUUAUCAUAAAAAGAAAACGAUUUCAUAGUUGCACCUCAACGAGUCGGGACACAUCACUAAACCGGUCUGACAUGUGUCAUCUCAGUGAAUGUGCACAUCGACCCUGACAAGCUAAUACAAUAAUGCUCAUUUGACAGACGAGGCAGCUGAAGGUCUGAGGGCGAAGCAGCUCCUUCCGCAGACGGGGUUGAUGGUGGAGCCAGGGACUCUCUCUGACCAUGGAACCCUGCCCUUCUCUUUGCCCUUUGACCCAGUUCUCAGUCCCUGCUGGAUCUAGCAGUCUUCCGGAUGCUCUGGGGUGACUUCACCGGGCUGCCUUUGGCACGAACCCUGCUGUGUGGUGUUGCCUUUAGAACUUACCAGACUGUCUUCUGUGUUGAUUUGCCCAUCAACCUGAUCACACGAGGCUCAGUCUUUCUGAGGUCUCAAGAAAUGUGUGAAUUACGAGCCCUGAGCCACCGUGGAUGAAAUCCAGGCUACUCCAGUGAGAGAGCACUGAGACGCCACCUUGGACGUCCCAUCCAAGUCAAGGUAGCAUGGGCCCUGGUUUCCAUCAGUCUGCAACUGGAUGAGAGACCCCAAGUGAGAACCGCUCAGCUGAGCCUCGUCAACCCACAGAACUGUGAGUGAUCAUUAAUUGUUUUUAAGCCACUGAGUUUUGGGGUGGUCUGCCCUGCAUCAGUUGACCGCCAAAACAAUACAUAAUCUAUAUAAAAUAAAUACAUAUAUAAUUAAGAUUUUUCUAUUUUA